UGGCUCAGUGGUAGAGUACUUGCCUCGCAUGCAUGAGGUCCUGAGUUCAAUUCCUCAG
rnacentral:tRNA from 1 species